AGAUGUGAUUUACAAAUUUGUGUUUUGUGAAGUUUGGUUAGUGAAGCAGAGCGUGGUAGAACAAUAUAUGAUUUGAAUCGAAUUAAACCUUACGAAUUUUUCAGAUAAUGUCAGAUUGGAUCUUGCACAGAAGGAUCUUCCUUGGCAAAAUCAAGAAUUGAAUCAAAGUUAUCAAACUUCACAAAAUCAAUGGAAUUACCAACCACAACAAGGAUUAGCAUCAACUCAAGCUGGAACAAGUGAUUCAGGCCGCAACCGUGGGAGUAAAAAUCCAUGGGUUGCACAUCUACUAAGGAAUAACUCUGGAAAAACUCAAGUAUCCAAUGAAAAAAAGAAAGAAAUCGACAAACGAUAUCGAGAAAAAUGCCGGGAAAGCAAGAAGGAAAUGGAAUGUGUGUUGGAUCAGCUUGGUCGAGAAAAUUCAAAUUUGCAUGACGAGAACAAGGAUUUGAUGAUGGAAAAAGAAUCUAUAAACAAGAGUCUGCAACUGACAGAAACCGAGUCAAUGGAACUAAACAUCGAAAUUCGCAAUUUGACGAGUAACAUGACCAACCAA